ACGGGAGACACACGGCGGGUGCUAACGUCCGUCGUGAAGAGGGAAACAACCCAGACCGCCAGCUAAGGUCCCAAAGUCAUGGUUAAGUGGGAAACGAUGUGGGAAGGCCCAGACAGCCAGGAUGUUGGCUUAGAAGCAGCCAUCAUUUAAAGAAAGCGUAAUAGCUCACUGGUCGAGUCGGCCUGCGCGGAAGAUGUAACGGGGCUAAACCAUGCACCGAAGCUGCGGCAGCGACGCUUAUGCGUUGUUGGGUAGGGGAGCGUUCUGUAAGCCUGCGAAGGUGUGCUGUGAGGCAUGCUGGAGGUAUCAGAAGUGCGAAUGCUGACAUAAGUAACGAUAAAGCGGGUGAAAAGCCCGCUCGCCGGAAGACCAAGGGUUCCUGUCCAACGUUAAUCGGGGCAGGGUGAGUCGACCCCUAAGGCGAGGCCGAAAGGCGUAGUCGAUGGGAAACAGGUUAAUAUUCCUGUACUUGGUGUUACUGCGAAGGGGGGACGGAGAAGGCUAUGUUGGCCGGGCGACGGUUGUCCCGGUU
rnacentral:rRNA from 1 species